GUGGGACGAAACCUCUUUCCUUCUACUCCCAUUUUGAAGAAGUAUUCAGCAGCUGAGGCAAGCUUAGGAACCUCAGCAACUACCAUAGCCCGUAACCUAUUAGCAAGGAGUGAUAGUUCAUCAGCAACAAGUGAGAACGGAUCAAGUGGCUCCUCAAUCAAGGAACUGCUCUGGUGAUGAAUUUGCUGUUUGAAGCCAUGCAGGGCAGAAAAACUCCAAGAAAAAGUUUCUCUGCGAUUGAAGACCUUAUGAGUAGAGUCUCCAAGAAGUUGGGAACUAUUUGAUAUAAGAAACGGGUCUAAUUGACGAGAGAGAAACAAACGACGGCCGUUUCUCGAAAUCUGAGAGACACACCGCAAGAAUUGCAUCGCCGCCGGUCUUUCUUAGUGCAGCCCCCCAAGGGAAACAAACAGAUCGCGAGCGAGAGACUGUGUCAAAAAAUAAAUAAAUAAAUAAAAAUUAGUCUUUU
rnacentral:misc_RNA from 1 species